UGGGGAAUAUUGCACAAUGGGCGCAAGCCUGAUGCAGCCAUGCCGCGUGUGUGAAGAAGGCCUUCGGGUUGUAAAGCACUUUCAGCGAGGAGGAAGGUGGUGAGCUUAAUACGCUCAUCAAUUGACGUUACUCGCAGAAGAAGCACCGGCUAACUCCGUGCCAGCAGCCGCGGUAAUACGGAGGGUGCAAGCGUUAAUCGGAAUUACUGGGCGUAAAGCGCACGCAGGCGGUUUGUUAAGUCAGNUGUGAAAUCCCCGGGCUCAACCUGGGAACUGCAUUUGAAACUGCAAGCUAGAGUCUCGUAGAGGGGGGUAGAAUUCCAGGUGUAGCGGUGAAAUGCGUAGAGAUCUGGAGGAAUACCGGUGGCGAAGGCGGCCCCCUGGACGAAGA
rnacentral:rRNA from 1 species